GAAUAUCCGUCAAUCAAGCAAACUCACAAAGGUGUUGUUCGACCGCCUUUGACAGGUACUAGGAUGUCACCAACAAGGGCACCACGGCCACCAACCACGGUGGACCGUCUCAUCUGUCCCGUGUGUACUUUUUAGGGUUUAACGUGAUGAAAUGCGGCUCGUUGUUACCUUCGACAGCUUCAUCCGACGGGAACAGGCUGGACCUCCUACAUGUAGCCUAGCAGCCUGUUAGCCGUCCACCGAGAGAGGAAGGCAUUGUUUGAGUUGUGGGCUAACAUGGCAACCAAAGCUAAUGUUAGCAGAGUCGGCUAGACGAGCUUCACGACCGAGUUACUGCAGAAGAGACUGCUGAUGUGGUGAUCCUGCAUAAUGUGUGACGGUCGUGAAGCCAGUCUCCCUCGUUCCCUCAUUCCCUCAUCGUGGGCUGGCCCUCCGGUUUAACCAUCUUCCUGAAGUCUCUCUCCUGAGCUGCAAACAUGACGGACAGGAAGGAGCCACCCUUUUACAAUGACGACAGCAUGGGGGCGUUUCAAUAUAAGCUCCCUUUCUAUGACACUAUGGAGCUCUUCAUAGAGACCCUGACAGGGACCUGUUUUGAGCUGCGCGUGCUGCCCUAUGAGGCUGUUAUUUCAGUCAAGGCGAAGAUCCAGAGGCUAGAAGGUAUCCCUGUUGCCCAGCAACAUCUCAUCUGGAACAAUCUGGAGCUGGAGGAUGAACAUUGUCUACAUGACUAUGGCAUUGCAGAGGGCUGCACUUUGAAACUCAUCUUAUCCAUGAGGGCUGGCCCAAUUAACACCAGGAGAGUAACACUCGAGGAUCCCGUCAAAGAGGUGGCUGACCUGAUGGAGAGCACAAAGGAGCAGGGCUGGGAGAAAACCUCGUCCAACAAACAGGUCACGUUUGUGGUCUACCGUGAGGGUGACCAGCUGAAUUUCUUCAGAGUGGUCAACAGAGGAGACGGGACUCUGACCCCUCUGUCUGAAUCUCUCAGUGGCGGCGGUUCGGUGUACAAUGUGUGUGCAGAGGAGGAGGAGGAUGAGGAGGAGGAGGAAGGAGCGACUUCAGCAGCUGCUCAGCACAGCCAUGAGAACUCCAUCACCAUGAGUAAAAUGAAGCUACUCAAGGCUAAGAUGGAGGACAUGAACCUCAGCAAGAAGCCCAAAAAGCCCAUUAAGAUGAAACCACGGCCCCCUGUCAGCCCUCACCCCUGCGGUGGCUCUCUUGGACCACCUAUCACACGACACCACCAUCGCCCCUUCCGUUCACUUGCUCAGAUCAACCAGUCUCAGCAGUCUAAUGCAAAACUACCUCCAAUCCCUGACCAUAAAUCCAUAGACCCCUUCCCCUCCUCCUCUUCUGCUGCUUCGACUUCUGCGCACUUGUCAAUCCCCAGAAGACCUCCACCCUCUUUCUCCUCGCCUUCUUGUUACAUGCUUCAGGAGGAGGAACCAUGGGAGACAUGUCCCCAGUUUGCAAGAAUCCGACCCCCUCCCAAAGUUACACAGUGUGACAUCGGCAGCACCCGGCUAAUGAGAGACUGUGUGUACCCUCAGCUCCCUCCACUGUAUAUCAGGGGACACCCCGAGGCCACCUUCGACCCCUCUGAGCCAGCAGUGGAGACAGUGGGACUUGGUUUGCUGGAGGAAGCUGCUGGGCUGGUGAUGCCAUCACAACCUGGAGCUCAGUUUGGGGAACUUUCAGACCCACUGAGUUUGGAUGUGUCCACACAGCCAGAGGGAGGCUACCAGUCCCUCACAGUUGGAGCCCAGCACCAGCUGCCGCUCCCCCCUUCCCCCGUGAGUACCUGGAUGCUUGGGACAAAUGAAACUCUCACUAGCAGAGCUGAAAGGACUCAGCUUGGCACGUCAUUUCACAUCAGCCCCCCCUCUCCCUUGCCCACCUCCCCAUCCUCCUCCACCAGGCCUCUGCCUCAACCUUUUGAUUCCACUCUGUCCUGUUUACAGCCCAACCUUCAAGCACAAGUUAGACCAGGGAACAUGUCCCCUAUCCCUUCCACCAGUUCAUUGGUUUAUCCUCCACGCCUUCAUGGUGUUAAAGUGGAGUCACCUGGCAAGAGGCCAGAGCUUAUCUCCAAAAGGGAAGCGAGGGGCAUCACUCAGAUGGUGAACCAAGCCUGUAAGGAGCCACUGGGGUCUGUGAACAACACCGAGCUCUUGGCUUCUCUCUCCACAAGGCCUUCAGACAGCAGCCACAGCAGGGAUGCUUUUGGAGAGAGUCUGGGACUCGCACUGACUUUCCCUCCUGCUACAGCCUCAGGACAGGGCGGCCUCAGCUCCAGACUGCAACCCAUCCAAACCAACAGGCUCCUUCAGGAUGAUAUCCUCAGACAAAUGUCACCUUCGCGCCGAGCAGCAGCCUCUUUCAUGACUGAGAUGUGACUGGUGAAGUAACCACCACUCUGCUCUCCUCAACAAGAAGAUGCUGCCACAAACACUCUUGCAUCAGCUGGGGGAGCCAUGACUUCAUUCGGGAGAAUAGGCACUCCAACAUACCACCUACCUCCAAUCAAGGCUCCCACAGGCAACAAGAAGAAGAGCUCAAAGCACUGCUUCCUCUGUGGCAGGAAGACUGGCCUGGCCACCAGCUUCGAGUGCAGAUGUGGUCACAACUUCUGUGCCACCCAUCGCUACGCAGAGACGCACGACUGCACGUUUGACUACAAGAGCGCGGGACGACGAUUCCUGCAAGAGACCAACCCUCUUAUCAGUGCUCCCAAGCUGCCUAAGAUCUAACACCCAACACCCAACAACCCUCACCUCUCAGAAGGGACGGCCUGAACCAACCACAGGUUAAUCUUGACUGAACAGUUGAGAUUCUGCUUUGUGACUUUUCUAGGAGGAAGAAGGAACUUAUUCACCACUGUGUGCUCUUUUUUUUAAUCUGCCAAGUUUGCUUAAAAUGAAAUAAGAUAUUCUGUAAAAGCCAAGUGUGAACAAAGAAGCGAAGACUGAAAUGGCACAGAGCUACUUAUCACCUCUUGACAAUGUGAAGAUGUUUAUUCUUUUUAUGUGUUACUUUUUCCUUUUCUUCGCCUGAAAACAAAACUCCCUGUGCAUGUAUGUAGGUAGGUUUCACUAAAUAUAUCUGCUGCACGUUCAGACAUUUCUACUUUUUAGUUUUGAUGGUUAUUUCUGUUUGUUUCAAAAGGACCGCUUAUGACUUUUCAUUGGACAAGUCUUUGACAGAUGCACUUUAGAAGUAUCAUAUUUAUACAUUUGACUUUCCUCCUUGUGGGGGAAGAAUUCUUAAAUCUCUGUGUUUGUCUUAUGAAGUGUUUCUGUUGUGUCAUGAUCUUUUAUAUUCUGCACCUCUAGAAGUCUUUCUUACUUGGGCACAUACAAACCGACAUCACUAAUGAAAUCUUUCCUUAAAGAACUUACGUAUUGAUAAAAUACUUCAUAUUUAUUAAUGAAUACUACUUAUUUAAAUUUAAGGGUGGUUUUGAAAUAGCAAGUAUGCAACGUGUGUAGGUAUGAAUGUCAGUUUUAAUGUGUAUCCUAUCAAGUUAAGUGUAUUAGGAUGUUGAGGGGGGGGUGUUAUGGUAUUUAUGAUGUGUCUCUUAAGUGAGGUGGUUGCCAUAAGAAUCUUUUGUAAGUCUUUUUUAUUGCUCAGCUGUUGCAAAAAAACUUUAAAUGCUGUUAUAGUAUCUUCAAGGGUUUGAUCUAAUAAAGUUUCUGAUCAUAUUGUACACCA